ncrna:unclassified sequences freshwater-2 RNA
AUCCACAUAGGGUGGAUUUUAUGCGGAAAUCCAACCGCGUACGGCCUAGAACGCCGUGUUUUCAUAAGGAGAAAAUAAAAUG